AAAAAAAACUUGUCUGUCAACUGUCAACCAAAAUAAAUUUGAAAAACUACCGUGCUACGGUGCUAAAUGAACAAAAAAAUUAAAUAUCAUAGCACUUCGUUCCGAAAAUAGACUAAUAUACUUUAAAAUAUGCAAGGAAACAUUUAUUGUUGCAACCGAAAUAAAAUUCAACGAAAAUCUAUAUAAAAAGGCAACAAUUUUUAUGUUGAUCAACAACACGAAACAAAGUGAAACAAAACUACAAAAAAAUUCAGAUUUCUACUAAAUGCUGAAUUUGGAUACAUAAACCACGAAACAAAACCAACAAAAGGAUCCAGCCAUGCCCACUACUGGACACCGGAUCACAGGAAGUGUGUAAAAUUGAAAAUUUAUCCUGUAAACUGUCAUCGGAACUAAAAGCGCAAACACGCAGAAGAAGAAUAUCUUCAUUUUUAAAUUUAAAUGACAUCACAAAAGAAGCUUUCCGGACACUGCUGCCAGCUAUCCCGAAGAACUCUGAAAAACAAAAUAGUGGUGUCGCUUUCACCACAUCACAACCUAUGAAGAACAGUGAUUUACUAUUAACUUUGUUAACUAAUAAGCUGUGAAAUUAUGUGCUGUGUUCUCUAAUAAAAUAUACUGUGUUGAAAAUUCUGGUGUUUGAAAGUGAAAAAUUAAAAGUAUACUAACAAAUACAGUUGUUUUCCUUAAUAAAACUUAAUCCGUAAUAAACUAUUAUGUAUAUUAGCUUAAUCCCUCAAAACAAUUACAUUGCAGUGUAAAAUAGUCAAAAGUAACAAAUACUAAAAAAAACAUUACUAAAGUGCAGUUCCAAUAAACAGUUGUCAAAAUUAUAAAACUAAAAAGUUCCCGAACAAAAUUCUAACAAAUAUCAAUUUCAUAAAAUAUUGUUCUAAUUGAAAUGUUAACUUUACACUAUUUUUCCAAAAAGAAAUACUAAAAUGCUAAAGCAUACGAAAAACCAGACUAAAUAAAUCCAAAAUAGUAUCCACUAUUAUUCAAAACAAACAUGUGCUUUGAUAUUAGUUAAGUCAGCAAAAUUUGUUAACCUCAAAAUGUAUCACACAAAAUGUAACUCUUUUCUAAAAAUUAUAUGUCAAAUGAACAUAAAAUAAAAACACAAAAUGUAUGCUAAUACCAAAAAAUACAAUGCAACAAACAUUUAACUUCAAAAUAGUUACUAAAAGUUUCACAAAAGGUGAGACAAAAAAAAUUUAAGUAAUUUCUGGUGCAUAACAAAAUCUAGGCUUAUCCUUCAGCAAGUCAUUACUAAAAAAUCAAAAUUCCCAGGGCGCCAGUGUAACGGUGGUGUAUUUGAUGGGGGGUAAAUAAAAUAGAAUGGAAAGCUCCGGCUAGUUCAAAGUAAAUACACCCACGUUAGCACAAAAUUUAUAAUAAAACAAAAGCUAAAUGGUGUCUCUAUACUUGCUGGAGGAAAGCUAGAGGAGAAACAAAUUAAACAAUAUCACAUUUUAUAACUUUAUUAAUUAUAAAUAAACUCUUGCCUACAGAAAGGUUUCAUUUAAUGUUUCCCGAAAUACUAAAUUCGACACCAUAUAAAAUAUGAACUACGCUCAGUGGUAAAGCUGGGCCGCUUUAAGAGGGUCCAGGAAAAGGUUUCUUACAACCAUUUAUUCUACAAAAACUAAAUAUGAAUUUACCUAAAGUUAUGCACCAGAAUUCUCAAAAUAAAUGAAAUCAGAAAUUACUUUACACAGAAAU
rnacentral:lncRNA from 1 species